rnacentral:lncRNA from 1 species
GAUGUAUGAACUUAUGAUCAGUGUGUACAUGUUAUAAUGUUAUGCGAUGUAUAACUGUUAGCGAUGUUAUAACUGUUAUGUAUCAGUGUGUACAGGUUAUAACUGUUAUGCGAUGUUAUAACUGUUAUGUAUCAGUGUUCUACAUGUUAUAACUGUUAUAUGAUGUUAUAACAGUUGAUAUGUAUUAGUGUCUACAUGUUUCUGUUAUGUGAUGUUAUAACUUUUAUGUGUAUCAGUUCUACAGUAUAACUUAUGUGUAUCAGUGUCUCGAUGUUAUAACUGUUAGUAUCAGUGCUACAUUUUUAAGUUUAACUGUGAUGUGAUGUUAUAACUGUUAUGUGAUGUUAUAACUGUUAUGUGAUAUAACGUUAUGUAUCAGUGUGUCAUGUAUAACGUUAUGCGUGUUAUACUUAUUGUACAGUGUCUAAUUAUCUAAC